rnacentral:rRNA from 1 species
GUGAGGAAUCUUCCACAAUGGGCGAAAGCCUGAUGGAGCAACGCCGCGUGAAGGAUGAAGGUCUUCGGAUUGUAAACUUCUUUUAUGAGUGAAGAAUAUGACGGUAACUCAUGAAUAAGCACCGGCUAACUACGUGCCAGCAGCCGCGGUCAUACGUAGGGUGCAAGCAUUAUCCGGAGUGACUGGGCGUAAAGAGUUGCGUAGGCGGUUAUGUAAGCGAAUAGUGAAACCUGGUGGCUCAACCACACAUACUAUUAUUCGAACUGCAUAAGUCGAGAAUGGUAGAGGUAACUGGAAUUUCUUGUGUAGGAGUGAAAUCCGUAGAUAUAAGAAGGAACACCAAUGGCGUAGGCAGGUUACUGGGCCAUUUCUGACGCUAAGGCACGAAAGCGUGGGGAGCGAACCGGAUUAGAAACCCGGGUAGUCC